rnacentral:rRNA from 1 species
UACGAAGGGGGCUAGCGUUGUUCGGAAUUACUGGCGUAAAGCGCGCGCAGGCGGUUCUUCAAGUCAGUGGUGAAAUCCCAGGGCUUAACCCUGGAACUGCCUGCGAGACCUCAGUACUAGAGUGUGAGAGGGGAUAGUGGAAUACCAAGUGUAGCGGUGAAAUGCGUAGAGAUUUGGUGGAACACCGGUGGCGAAGGCGGCUAUCUGGCUCACAACUGACGAUCAGGCACGAAAGCGUGGGGAGCAAACAGG